rnacentral:rRNA from 1 species
GACGAACGCUGGCGGCGUGCUUAACACAUGCAAGUCGAACGGAAAGGCCCUGCUCUUGUGGGGUGCUCGAGUGGCGAACGGGUGAGUAACACGUGAGUAACCUGCCCUUGACUUUGGGAGAACUUCAGGAAACUGGGGCUAAUACCGGAUAGGAGCUCCUGCUGCGUGGGGGGGGUUGGAAAGAUUCGGCGGUGGGGGCUGGACUCGCGGCUUAUCAGCUUGUUGGUGGGGUAGUGGCUUCCCAAGGCUUUGAGGGGUAGCCCGCCUGAGAGCGUGACCGGCGACAUUGCUCCUACGGUACGGCCCAGACUCGUACGGGCGGCAGCAGGCGAGAGUCUUGCGCAAUGGGCGGACGCCUGAUGCAACAACGCCGCGUGCGGAAUGCCGGCUUUCGGGUUGUAAACCGCUUUCGACUGUAACGUGGCCUGCUUGACGGUAAUGGGUCAGGAAGCCCCGGCUAACUACGUG